AUAUCUGUUAUUAAGCUCUUUUAUAGU
rnacentral:misc_RNA from 1 species